GGAUCGUAAAGCUCUGUUGUAAGUCAAGAACGGGUGUGAGAGUGGAAAGUUCACACUGUGACGGUAGCUUACCAGAAAGGGACGGCUAACUACGUGCCAGCAGCCGCGGUAAUACGUAGGUCCCGAGCGUUGUCCGGAUUUAUUGGGCGUAAAGCGAGCGCAGGCGGUUUGAUAAGUCUGAAGUUAAAGGCUGUGGCUCAACCAUAGUUCGCUUUGGAAACUGUCAAACUUGAGUGCAGAAGGGGAGAGUGGAAUUCCAUGUGUAGCGGUGAAAUGCGUAGAUAUAUGGAGGAACACCGGUGGCGAAAGCGGCUCUCUGGUCUGUAACUGACGCUGAGGCUCGAAAGCGUGGGGAGCGAACAGGAUUAGAUACCCUGGUAGUCCACGCCGUAAACGAUGAGUGCUAGGUGUUGGAUCCUUUCCGGGAUUCAGUGCCGCAGCUAACGCAUUAAGCACUCCGCCUGGGGAGUACGACCGCAAGGUUGAAACUCAAAGGAAUUGACGGGGGCCCGCACAAGCGGUGGAGCAUGUGGUUUAAUUCGAAGCAACGCGAAGAACCUUACCAGGUCUUGACAUCCCGAUGCUAUUUCUAGAGAUAGAAAGUUACUUCGGUACAUCGGUGACAGGUGGUGCAUGGUUGUCGUCAGCUCGUGUCGUGAGAUGUUGGGUUAAGUCCCGCAACGAGCGCAACCCCUAUUGUUAGUUGCCAUCAUUCAGUUGGGCACUCUAGCGAGACUGCCGGUAAUAAACCGGAGGAAGGUGGGGAUGACGUCAAAUCAUCAUGCCCCUUAUGACCUGGGCUACACACGUGCUACAAUGGUUGGUACAACGAGUUGCGAGUCGGUGACGGCGAGCUAAUCUCUUAAAGCCAAUCUCAGUUCGGAUUGUAGGCUGCAACUCGCCUACAUGAAGUCGGAAUCGCUAGUAAUCGCGGAUCAGCACGCCGCGGUGAAUACGUUCCCGGGCCUUGUACACACCGCCCGUCACACCACGAGAGUUUGUAACACCCGAAGUCGGUGAGGUAACC
rnacentral:rRNA from 1 species